AUUGAACGCUGGUGGCAUGCUUAACACAUGCAAGUCGGACGGUAACAUGAUGUGCUUGCACAUUGAUGACGAGUGGCGGACGGGUGAGUAACGCGUAGGGACCUGCCAUAGAGAGGGGGACAACCAUUGGAAACGAUGGCUAAUACCGCAUAAUGCCUAAGGGUUAAAGGUGGCUUCGGCUGCCGCUUUGUGAUGGACCUGCGUUAGAUUAGCUAGUUGGUGGGGUAAGGGCCUACCAAGGCGACGAUCUAUAGCUGUUCUGAGAGGAAGAUCAGCCACACUGGGACUGAGACACGGCCCAGACUCCUACGGGAGGCAGCAGUGGGGAAUAUUGGACAAUGGGGGCAACCCUGAUCCAGCAAUGCCACGUGUGUGAAGAAGGCCUUAGGGUUGUAAAGCACUUUCAGUCAGGAGGAAAGGUUAUUGGUUAAGAGCUGGUAGCUGUGACGUUACUGACAGAAGAAGCACCGGCUAACUCCG
rnacentral:rRNA from 1 species